CUUCCGUAGGGUGACCUGCGGAAGGAUCAUUA
rnacentral:rRNA from 2 species